CACGCCGUAAACGAUGCGAACUAGGUAUUGGGAUUUUCGACCGUCCCAGUAGCGAAGCUAACGCGUUAAGUUCGCCGCCUGGGGAGUACGAGCGCAAGCUUAAAACUCAAAGGAAUUGGCGGGGGCUCGCACAAGCAGUGGAACAUGGGGUUUAAUUCGACAAUAAGCGGGGCACCUCACCAAGGUUUGACAUCUACGGAAUCCCCUGGAAACAGGGGAGUGCCCGCAAGGGAGCCGUAAGACAGGUGC
rnacentral:rRNA from 1 species